UUGGAGGGCAAGUCUGGUGCCAGCAGCCGCGGUAAUUCCAGCUCCAAUAGCGUAUAUUAAAGUUGUUGCAGUUAAAAAGCUCGUAGUUGAAUUUCGGGAUCAAGGAAUCGGUCAUGCCUUGGUAUGUACUGGUUUUAUUGGUUCUCACCUUCUAAAGAACCAUAAUGUCAUUUAUUUGAUGUUAUGGGGAAUUAGGACUGUUACCUUGAAAAAAUUAGAGUGUUUAAAGCAAGCUUACGCUUGAAUACAUUAGCAUGGAAUAAUGAAAUAGGACAUCAGAUUCUAUUUUGUUGGUUUCUAGGAUCGAUGUAAUGAUUAAUAGGGAUAGUUGGGGGCAUUAGUAUUCAAUUGUCAGAGGUGAAAUUCUUGGAUUUAUUGAAGACUAACUACUGCGAAAGCAUUUGCCAAGGAUGUUUUCAUUAAUCAAGAACGAAAGUUAGGGGAUCGAAGACGAUCAGAUACCGUCGUAGUCUUAACCAUAAACUAUGCCGACUAGGGAUCGGAUGAUGUUAAUUUUUUAAUGACUCAUUCGGCGCCUUACGGGAAAC
rnacentral:rRNA from 2 species